rnacentral:rRNA from 1 species
CACGUAGGGGACGAGCGUUGUCCGGAAUCAUUGGGCGUAAAGCGCGCGUAGGCGGGCCGGAAAGUCGGGUGUGAAAUCCCGGGGCUCAACCCCGGGCCUGCAUCCGAUACUCCCGGGCUGGAGGCAGGUAGGGGAGAUCGGAAUUCCUGGUGUAGCGGUGAAAUGCGCAGAUAUCAGGAGGAACACCGGUGGCGAAGGCGGAUCUCUGGGCCUUGCCUGACGCUGAGGCGCGAAAGCUAGGGGAGCGAACAGG